ACAUCUACUACACACAAUCAUUCACACUCAUAUACUAUGGACAAUUUAGCCUACCCAAUUCACCUGUACCACAUGUGUUCAGACUGUGGGGGAAACCAGAGCAUCCGGAGGAAACCCAUGCAGAAACAUCAACUGACCCAGAUGAAGCUCGAACCAGCAACCUUCUUGCUGUGAGGCGAACGUGCUACCCACUGCGCCACCGUGCAGCCCCGUUCAAGUAAAUUAACGGAGGUUCAAUGCUGAAAUUUGUCACAAAAGAAGUUGAGGUGUCCUGAUCCAGCACUGCUCCAGAGACACCAGCAGCUGCACAGCUACAGACACAGGAUGCAGCACUGAGGACCGUCCAUCUCUACAGUGAAAACAAAGUAUGAUGUGAGAGAAAAAAUAGGAGAGGGAUGCUUCGGCGAGGUCUAUAUCGGUAUCAGAAAAUGGGACAGAAAACAGUUUGCCAUCAAGGUGACUGAUUAUGGAGAUAAAAGCGGUGUG